rnacentral:rRNA from 1 species
UACGAAGGGUGCAAACGUUGCUCGGAAUUAUUGGGCGUAAAGCGCACGUAGGCGGCUUAGCAAGUCGGAUGUGAAAUCCCUCGGCUCAACCAAGGAAGUGCAUCCGAAACUGCUGAGCUUGAGUACUUAAGAGGAUCGCGGAAUUCCCGGUGUAGAGGUGAAAUUCGUAGAUAUCGGGAGGAACACCAGUGGCGAAGGCGGCGACCUGGUCCGAUACUGACGCUGAGGCGCGAAAGCUAGGGUAGCAAACGGG